rnacentral:tRNA from 1 species
GGUUGUAUGGAGUAGUUGGUUAACUUAGGAGAUUCUGAUUGGUUGAGCUCACCAGCUCAUCGAUACGAUUCGACUUCUCUUGCCCUGGGUUCGAAUCCCAGUACGACCU